GGCGGUUCUUGGGUGACACACUCCGGGAUCAGGCUCCCUCCUCUCUGGUUCCAGGUGCAUCACCCGAGAACCGGCA
rfam:Myotis davidii contig74185, whole genome shotgun sequence.